GACGAACGCUGGCGGUGUGCUUAACACAUGCAAGUCGAACGGUAAGGCCCUUUCGGGGGUACACGAGUGGCGAACGGGUGAGUAACACGUGAGUAACCUGCCCUCAUCUCUGGGAUAACAGUCGGAAACGGUUGCUAAUACUGGAUAUGAGCUUUCUUGGCAUCUUGUGGGUUGGAAAGAUUUUUUUGGUUGGGGUUGGACUUGCAGGCUAUCGGCUUGUUGGUGAGGUAGUGGCUCACCAAGGCUUCGACGGGUAGCCGGCCUGAGAGGGCGACCGGCCAUAUUGGGACUGAGAGGAGGCACAAGCACCGACGGGAGGCAGCUGUGGGGAAGAUUGCACAAUGGACGGAAGGCUGAUGCAGAAACGCCGCGGGCGGGAGGACGGCCUUCGGGUUGUAAACCGCUUUCAAUUGUGACGAAGCUUUUUGUGACGGUAGCAGUAGAAGAAGCACCGGCUAACUACGUG
rnacentral:rRNA from 1 species